UUGCAUCGAUGCUAGACCUUUGCUGAUAGAGAGUGCGACUUGUGCUGCGCUCCGAAACCAGUAGGCCGGCUGCCAAUUACUUUAAGGCGAGUCUCCAGCAAAGCUAGAGACAAGACGCCCAACACCAAGCAAAGCUUGAGGGUACAAAUGACGCUCGAACAGGCAUGCCCUUUGGAAUACCAAAGGGCGCAAUGUGCGUUCAAAGAUUCGAUGAUUCACUGAAUUCUGCAAUUCACACUACUUAUCGCAUUUCGCUGCGUUCUUCAUCGAUGCCCAGGAACACCAAC
rnacentral:misc_RNA from 1 species